AACGAACGCUGGCGGCAGGCCUAACACAUGCAAGUCGAGCGAAGCCUUCGGGCUUAGCGGCGGACGGGUGAGUAACGCGUGGGAACGUGCCCCUUGGUACGGAAUAGCCCCGGGAAACUGGGAGUAAUACCGUAUGCGGUCGAGAGGCGAAAGAUUUAUCGCCAAAGGAUCGGCCCGCGUUGGAUUAGGUAGUUGGUGGGGUAAUGGCCUACCAAGCCGACGAUCCAUAGCUGGUUUGAGAGGAUGAUCAGCCACACUGGGACUGAGACACGGCCCAGACUCCUACGGGAGGCAGCAGUGGGGAAUUUUAGACAAUGGGGGAAACCCUGAUCUAGCCAUGCCGCGUGAUCGAUGAAGGCCUUAGGGUUGUAAAGAUCUUUCAGUGGGGAAGAUAAUGACUGUACCCACAGAAGAAGCCCCGGCUAACUCCGUGCCAGCCGCCGCCGUAAUAC
rnacentral:rRNA from 1 species